rnacentral:tRNA from 1 species
GUCCCUGUAGCGCAGUGGAUAGCGCGUUAGACUUCUAAUCUAAAGGUCGCGGGUUCAACUCCCGCCAGGGAUG